UUACCCCUACGGGAGGCAGCAGUGAGGAAUAUUGGUCAAUGGGCGGAAGCCUGAACCAGCCAAGUCGCGUGAGGGAUUAAGGCCCUGCGGGUCGUAAACCUCUUUUGCCGGGGAGCAGAGGUCCGGACGUGUCCGGGCCGGGAGAGUACCCGGAGAAAAAGCAUCGGCUAACUCCGUGCCAGCAGCCGCGGUAAUACGGAGGAUGCGAGCGUUAUCCGGAUUUAUUGGGUUUAAAGGGUGCGUAGGCGGGCAUUUAAGCCGGAGGUGAAAUGGUGGGGCUCAACCCCGGCCUGCCGUCGGAACUG
rnacentral:rRNA from 1 species